CGGGGCUCUUGUUUCUUCUUCCACUAGGGAAUAUGGUCAUUCUGGGAGCACUCCUCUACAUUUGGUAGCUCAUGGAGGAAGUUUGGAUUGUGUUCGCACAUUGCUUGCAUGGGGAGCCGAUCGGCUCCAGAGGGAUUCAUCUGGGCGAAUACCUUAUUCUAUAGCUAUAAAGCACAAUCAUGGA